rnacentral:rRNA from 1 species
CCUACGGGAGGCAGCAGUGAGGGAUAUUGGGCAAUGGGGGAAACCCUGAACCAGCAACGCCGCGUGAGGGAAGACGGUUUUCGGAUUGUAAACCUCUGUCCGCAGGGAAGAGAAGGACGGUAGCAGAGGAGGAAGCUCCGGCUAACUACGGGCCAGCAGCCGCGGGAAUACGUAGGGAGCAAGCGUGGUCCGGCUUUACUGGGUGUACAGGGUGCGGAGGCGGCUUGGCAAGUCAGAAGUGAAAUCCCUGGGCUUAACCCAGGAACUGCUUUUGAAACUGCAGAGCUUGAGUGGAGGAGAGGUCGGCGGCAUUCCCGUUGUAGCGGUGCACUGCGU